rnacentral:rRNA from 1 species
UACGUAGGGUGCAAGCGUUAUUCGGAAUUACUGGGCGUAAAGCGUGCGCAGGCGGUGAUGUAAGAUAGAUGUGAAAUCCCUGGGCUCAACCUGGGAACUGCAUUUGUGACUGCAUCGCUGGAGUGCGGCAGAGGGGGAUGGAAUUCCGCGUGUAGCAGUGAAAUGCGUAGAUAUGCGGAGGAACACCGAUGGCGAAGGCAAUCCCCUGGGCCUGCACUGACGCUCAUGCACGAAAGCGUGGGGAGCAAACAGG